rnacentral:rRNA from 1 species
GACGAACGCUAGCGGCGUGCUUAACACAUGCAAGUCGAACGGGCCUUGUCCCCUUUUUUUUUGGGGGUGGGGUUAGUGGCGAACGGGUGAGUAACACGUGAGUAACCUGCCCCUCACUUCUGGAUAACCGCUUGAAAGGGUGGCUAAUACGGGGUGUUCUGGCCUGCUCGCAUGGGUGGGUUUGGAAAGAUUCGACCGGUUUUGGUUGUUUUGGUGGGGGAUGGGCUCGCGGCCUAUCAGCUUGUUGGUGGGGUGAUGGCCUGCCAAGGCUUUGACGGGUAGCCGGCCUGAGAGGGUGGGCGGUCACACUGGGACUGAGACACGGCCCAGACUCCUACGGGAGGCAGCAGUUGGGAAUAUUGCACAAUGGGCGCAAGCCUGAUGCAGCGACGCCGCGUGAGGGAUGGAGGCCGUCGGGUUGUGAACCUCUUUCGCCAGUGAAGAAGGUCCUGCUCUUUGUGGUGGGGUUGACGGUAGCUGGGUUAAUGAAGCGCCGGCUAACUACGUG